UUUCUGCGACGCAGCUAACGCAUUAAGCGCCCCGCCUGGGGAGUACGAUCGCAAGAUUAAAACUCAAAGGAAUUGACGGGGCCCCGCACAAGCAGCGAAGCAUGCGGCUUAAUUCGACGCAACGCGAAGAACCUUACCAAGGCUUGACAUAUACAGGAAUACGGCAGAGAUGUCGUAGCGGUAAAACGUCUGUAUACAGGUGGUGCAUGGUUGUCGUCAGCUCGUGUCGUGAGAUGUUGGGUUAAGUCCCGCAACGAGCGCAACCCUCGUUCUGUGUUGCCAGCAUUUAGUUGGGGACUCACAGGAGACUGCCGGGGUUAACUCGGAGGAAGGUGGGGAUGACGUCAAAUCAUCAUGCCCCUUAUGUCUUGGGCUGCACGCAUGCUACAAUGGCUGGUACAAAGGGCUGCAAUACUGCAAAGUGGAGCGAAUCCCAAAAAGCCAGUCUCAGUUCGGAUUGGGGUCUGCAACUCGACCCCAUGAAGUCGGAGUUGCUAGUAAUCGUAGAUCAGCAACGCUACGGUGAAUACGUUCCCGGGGCUUGUACACACCGCCCGUCACAUCACGAAAGUCGUAACACCCAAAGUCAGUGGCCCAACCGCAAGGAGGGAGCUGCCAAAG
rnacentral:rRNA from 1 species